AUGAGGGAGUUGGGAAGAUUUCUACUGGCUGCCAAGUCCCUGGACAGAAAAGUGCAAUCCCUUCAAGAUGUUUUGGUUCCACCAAAGUUUUCCUUAGCGGUAGCAGCAGCCAAAAAAGCGUCUGGUUUCACCAACUCGGCGCAUAGACACAGCACACCAUCUCUUGCUUUAAAAUUGGGGCACUCACUGAAGGCAGCAUGUGACAUUGUUAUAGGACAACAUAUAAAGGCUGAAGAUGAAUUGGCUGCCAACCGAGUAAGGAACUUCUUGGGCUUAGUUGCUGCAGAGUGGGACCUGUAUGUGUCACGCCAUGCAAGAACAAACCUAGAAGAAGAAAGAUGGAACAAAAAAGACAUGAUUCCACUCACAGAGGAUGUCAUGAAGCUUCAGAAAGUGUUGAAGUCCACAGAGGAGGAGGCAAAGGACAAGCUCCUGAAUGGACCAAACCCAACAGCUUACGAGACGCUCAGCGAGUGCCUUCUUGCCCAAAUCAUCCUGUUCAACAGAAGACGCCAAGGUGAGGCGGCAAAAAUGCCUCUGGUGACAUACAGAGACAGAGCCGCUGAGCAACCAAAUGAAGACAUCAUGAAGUGCCUCUCAAGGCUAGAAAAGGAUUUGAGUCAUGAGUUUACCCGGUUAGUGGUCAGAGGAAAGAGAGGACGUAAAGUGCCGGUGCUUCUUACAAAAGGGAUGACUUCCUCACUUGACUUCCUCAUUGAAAACAGGGGUGUGGAGAGGGACAUUUUGGAAAGUUAUGAGUAUGUUUUUGCAAGACAGAAUACCGAUUCCCAUAUUCGAGGUUCAGACUGUUUGAGGAAAUAUGCAGCUCUAAGUGGAGCAAAGAGACCUGAAACACUCACCUCGACCCAACUGAGGAAACACGUGGCUACACUGAGCCAGAUUAUGAAUCUCAAAGACAAUGAAUCGGACCAGCUUGCUAAAUACAUGGGACAUGAUAUUCGCGUUCAUCGCGAAUAUUAUCGGCUCACAGAGAAUACGCUACAGCUUGCUAAAAUGAGCAAGCUGCUCAUGGCUAUUGAACUUGGAACUGAUGUCUACAGAGGCAAAUCUCUUGAUGAGCUUGAUUUAGACUUAGAAAUGGCUUUGUCUGCCAAAGAUGGAUCAAUACAAGAAUCCCAGGUCACGCAAAGCAAUGACAGUGGGGAAACUUUAGAGCUUCCUGAAGACAUGGAUGAACCAGAUAGAAAGCCAUCAGAGGAAAAAAGAGGAGAGACAGGGUCCUCCAAGAGAAAAAGGACGAAGGAGCGUUCUCGGCCUUCUCCAUGUUCAGAUGAAGAGCCACAAAGCCCCUCCUUUUCCCAACCAUUUAAAGUCCAGAAGAGAGGAGAGACAGAUAUGGAUCUUCCAAAAGGCAUCCGUCGCAGGCCUUGGAGUAAACGGGAGAAAGAAGCUGUAUGGAGGCAGUUGGGGAAGUAUAUCACACUUCUACGAGUUCCUGGGAAAGAGGAGUGCAUGAAUGCAUUACAAGCUGAACGUGCGCUGAAAAGGCGCACAUGGACAGAUGUAAAAAAUUAAGUGUACAAUACAAUCACUUCCCAAAAGAGGAAGAAUUUAUAAGCAAUUCAUUCAUUUGAUGAAGUUUGGUCAUGUGAAUUUCAUAUUCAUUUAUGGCAGUGGUCUUAUUUGUGCUAGCGGUUUUACUUUCUGAAAUGAUUUCAGUCACUUUUUUAUUAUUAUAUAUUAUAUAUAUUAUCGCUAAAUUUAUGGGUAAUUUUCACUGCAGCAAGUGUUGAGGUGUUCAAAAUGCACAAAGAUGUGCAGAAAUCCUGCCAAGUGAUUUUCACUGCAGCAAGAAGUGUUGGUGUUCAAAAUGCACAAAGAUGUGCAUAAAUCCUGUCAAGUAAUUUUCACUGCAGCAAGAAGUGUUGGUGUUCAAAAUGCACAAAGAUGUGCAUAAAUCCUGCCAAGUAAUGUUUAACUGCAGCAAAAAGUGUCAGAAUGCAUGCAGAAAUUGUAAAACUGUUUACAAUAAAGUAAUUUGUUUAAUAUGAGUUUGAGUUUCAUAAUGUAUUAAGACAUUUCUCUAAAGGCGGGUACACACUACAGGAUUUGUCAAACCUUCACAGAUUAGGAGACCACACACUUGAUGAUAACAAAAGACAGAUCGCACAAGAUCUCUCUCUGCUGAUCUUAUAGUGUGUGGUGUUCUCCGUAGUGCACACCACACACUAACCGAUUCUUCAGCAGAGUAUCAGGUUCUUAACGCGCAAUAUUGCAAAUCUCGCGUGGUCAAACGUGACUUCAGUGUAAACAAACAUGGCGGAUGAACCGGUAGAUACAGUGGUGGUUGUUUUAGGCCUAUUACUGGCUGAAAAAGUCAUGGAGACGGCGAGAGUGUGG
rnacentral:lncRNA from 1 species